rnacentral:rRNA from 1 species
CCUACGGGAGGCAGCAGUGGGGAAUUUUGGACAAUGGACGCAAGUCUGAUCCAGCCAUGCCGCGUGCGGGAAGAAGGCCUUCGGGUUGUAAACCGCUUUUGUCAGGGAAGAAAUCUUCUGAAUUAAUACUUCGGGAGGAUGACGGUACCUGAAGAAUAAGCACCGGCUAACUACGUGCCAGCAGCCGCGGUAAUACGUAGGGUGCAAGCGUUAAUCGGAAUUACUGGGCGUAAAGCGUGCGCAGGCGGUUAUGCAAGACAGGUGUGAAAUCCCCGAGCUCAACUUGGGAACUGCACUUGUGACUGCAUAGCUAGAGUACGGUAGAGGGGAGUGGAAUUCCGCGUGUAGCAGUGAAAUGCGUAGAUAUGCGGAGGAACACCGAUGGCGAAGGCAGCUCCCUGGACCUGUACUGACGCUCAUGCACGAAAGCGUGGGGAGCAAACAGGAUUAGAUACCCUGGUAGUCCACGCCCUAAACGAUGUCAACUGGUUGUUGGGAGGGUUUCUUCUCAGUAACGUAGCUAACGCGUGAAAGUUGACCGCCUGGGGGUAAGGUACGGCGCGAGUAGUUAAGUUAAAGUAGAGUUAGAGGCGNGAGAGNGCGAGGACGACGACGAGGGAGGAGG